GGAGAAGUACUCAAGUGGCUGAAGAGGACGGUUUGCUAAACCGUUAGGCCGGUUUCUCCGGCGCGCGGGUUCGAAUCCCGCCUUCUCCGCCA
rnacentral:tRNA from 1 species